GAUCAGAUUCUACUCCAGGCUCAGGAAGUCUCCCAACCCAUUCUCGUUGAUUGGAUGGCUGCUUGGUGCCGAAAAUGCAUCUAUUUGAAGCCUAAGUUGGAGAAAUUAGCUGCUGAAUAUGAUACCAAGAUCAAGNNNNNNNNNUGUGGAUGUCAACAAGGUACCUCAAUCUCUAGUCAAGCGAGGAAACAUAUCUAAAAUGCCCACAAUACAGCUAUGGAAGGAUGGAGAGAUGAAAGCAGAAGUAAUUGGAGGACACAAGGCCUGGCUU
rnacentral:misc_RNA from 1 species